GUACUCUGGUUUCUCUUCAUAUCAUAUAAAUCUUUUGCUUUUUACUAAAGAUCUCUGUGGAGAGGAACAGUUCUGAGUAAAAAUCUUAAAAAAGGACAGAAUGAACUUCUUU
ensembl:snRNA U5 U5 spliceosomal RNA